CCAAUAGCGUAUAUUAAAGUUGUUGCAGUUAAAAAGCUCGUAGUUGAAUUUCGGGAUCAAUAUGUCGGUCGUGCCUUCGGUACGUACUGGCAUCAUUGAUUUCUCCCUUCUGACGAACCCUGAUGUCAUUAAUUUGGUGUCAUGGGGAGUCAGGACUGUUACUUUGAAAAAAUUAGAGUGUUUAAAGCAGGCUCACGCUUGAAUACAUUAGCAUGGAAUAAUGAAAGAGGACGUUUGAUCCUAUUUUGUUGGUUUCUAGGAUCGACGUAAUGAUUAAUAGGGAUAGUUGGGGGCAUUAGUAUUCAAUUGUCAGAGGUGAAAUUCUUGGAUUUAUUGAAGACUAACUACUGCGAAAGCAUUUGCCAAGGAUGUUUUCAUUAAUCAAGAACGAAAGUUAGGGGAUCGAAGACGAUCAGAUACCGUCGUAGUCUUAACCAUAAACUAUGCCGACUAGGGAUCGGAUGAUGUUAAUUUUUUAAUGACUCAUUCGGCGCCUUACG
rnacentral:rRNA from 1 species